rnacentral:misc_RNA from 1 species
UCAAACUUGGUCAUUUAGAGGAAGUAAAAGUCGUAACAAGGUUUCCGUAGGUGAACCUGCGGAAGGAUCAUUAACGAAUACGUCUGUCGGGAAGGGUUGCUGCUGGCCUCCACGGAGGCAUGUGCGCGCCCCGACCGCAUUCCACCCCUUCACACCUGUGCACAACCGCGGAGGCGGGGCGCCGCGAGGCCCCCCUCUCUGCAAACUUUUCACAAACUCCCUAGUCGUAACAGAACGGUAUUCGUAGUAGUGCGCCCAGCGCAUGAAUAAAUACAACUUUCAGCAACGGAUCUCUUGGCUCUCGCAUCGAUGAAGAACGCAGC